rnacentral:rRNA from 1 species
UUUCUUUGAGGCUCACUGGGUAGACGGGAUAGGGAUUGGGCGAGAGCAGAGGGAGGGAUCCUGCGUCGGCGGGUGGCUUAGUUUAGGGCAGCAGCCCGAGCAGACGGAGCGGUACUGGCUACUUACGCAGCCGACGCCGGUGCGGGGGAGAGGUUUGCCGCCGCUACGACCUCCCUCGUCGAGUGCGACGGUCCGAGGGCUGGCUUGCGCAGCCCAGUAGAGAGGAGCUCCGGUUGGGGAGGAUAAGUGGCGUAGAGAGGGACUGAGGCAGAGGAGGUGCUCUACAUCGUGGUGGGGUGCGGUACCUGCGGGAACGACCAACGUAGAGAGGUACGCGGCGGUUAGGAUACUGUGGCGACGGGCCGUCAGAGGUGGUCGUGGUGCUGCCCGCACCGGAGACGUGCGCGGCAGUGGAGGGGAGAUCUAGGCCGGCAGCAGCUCCCGUAUAGGUAGGUCGUCACGCGGCAGUGGAGGGGAGGUCUAGGUCGGCAGCAGUUCCCGCAUAGGUAGGUCGUCGCGCGGCAGUAGGGUUAGUAGUGGCAGGUGCCGCAGUAGCGGGUCCGGGUCAGUGCCCGGCCGUUCUGGAGGUACUAGAGGGAGAAGCAGACGGUCCAGUAACUCUGGUUGCAGGUGCUCACUAAAGGCGUAUCGAAAACACAUACUGCCGACCUCCUGGUUGAGUCUGGAGCGAACGGAGUCCCAGUCCUCCAGGUUCCGCGGUGUUCUGGCCCGGUCCUCAAACGCAUUUGGACCCGGUCCUCAAAUAAACUAUUUCCGAAGUUAAACGCGGGGUAAAGUACCUAAUUGCUACGGUUCUCGUAUGGUAAACAUGUUUCAGGGUUCUAGCUACAGAAGAGUGUAUAGAGUGUAUUAUUGAUGAGCACGAGACAAAAAAAGAAACAUAAGUCCAAAGGUCUUACUAACCGGUGUGGAUGGAUUUUUCAAGCCUUAAAUUGGUACUCGGGGAAGACCGGACCAAGGUAUAAGGUUCCGGGAAGGUAUUAGGUUAAGAAACAGGGCUUGGUGGGUAACUUCUUGUAUCUGACACGUCUUAUAGUCAAACAAUAUAAACGUAGUCUACUUGAUACCCUCGUGAACUUGUUAGUCCUUCAACACCUAUAUCAAGUAACAAAUGGAGCCUUACAUCUACUAAACGGUAUGAAGGAGUAUAUAAUGAGAAAGGGUCACAUGAUUUUAUACGAAGGGUAAAAUCAGAACGGAAUAUAACAACUAUACAUUGGGUUUAUCCAAUUUGGCUUACAACAUAGCUUUGUACAUCAUAAAUGAACGUUUUCUCGUUGACUCUCGGACCACCCAGCCCUACUUCCUUCUUAUGGGGACUCUCGGGUUUGAGCUCAAGCUUUUAUAUACGUCUUAUAUACAAACGGAGACGAUAUAUGUAUACAUUAAAAGGUCAGACACAAAAGACGAGGAGAAACCGCGUUACACCUUCUACAACCAAAAUUUCCGAUCGUCCCUUCGGUCACUACCUCAUUAGUCACCAAAUACUCCAGUACCUCGGGUUCUGGCCUACGUCGUCUUCUUCGUCGCAGCAACGGCACGUGAUUCUUCCAGUUGUCUCAGACACUCCGCCUUCUAGGUAUCGUAUGUCGCCUACGCAACCUAUACGGUAAGGAGUUACACAUGGACCUAAGAGAAACCCGUGGGUUAAAAACCCGUCCACAAUAAGAUCGUCGGGCGAAGCGAAACCAGAAGUCUAAUUCGUUAAGAGACGUAAGUUCCCUUUCCAGUUAUCGACGAGAGGUUUCGGUUGCGGCCAGACAUAAGUAGACGACUUAGUCCAACCGGUGCUGCUCCUCUGCCUGUGCUGGCGCAGCAGGGUAGCUGGAGGCCCCGGAAACUAUAGAGUCCCACACACAGUACAAUACAACCCAAAGGACACUAAAGCCACGCCCAUCGAUGUAUCGCAGGCACCCGGUACGCACACUGUACGUACGAUCCAUUAGAACUGAGGACACGCUGCCACGACCUUGGCGGAGGCGACCAAUGCCGGCGGCACCGAUACGAACUUCCGUCUUAGUGGUGCUACUGACAUCAACGGCGUGAGUCUAGUCUUGCCGUCGGUGCCAUAUACUAGUUCGGAAAUGACAGCAGGAGACUUAAACCCUAGUGCACGUAGACGUUCUCUUUCUCGUACUCUCGGAUUCUCCCAUCAUGGUGCAAUGCUUGUUCAACUAAAAAUAGGUACCUUAACUAGACUACGCUUCGACUACGGUGUAUUUUCCUGGUUCCUUACUUGUGCUUCGUUUAAUAUUGAGAGUCCAAGUACCAAAUCCUCGUCCUUUCUUGUGAAGGUUAACACAUCUACCCAGUAGUCAUCGUAAAGAGAUUAAUAAGAAUAUCUCUGACUAAACCUAACAACUUCCUUUCCUAGAGUUAAGAGUUAUCGUUUGACGUGACCCUGUAGAACCUGGAUAAGAGGUGUAAAGACUCGAUCCAACCUGUCGUACAGUACCCCCCUUUAGUAAAGAAGGAAGGUUAGGCACCCGAUUUAAACAAUAGUGGUACAAAAUUUAAGGCACAGUAGGAACUUGAAAACUCCUUAACAAUCUAUACAACCACUCGCCCGUCCGCCACGAUCUGUACCAUCCCGUUCUCUCGUGCUCCCUCUUACAGCUUCCCCCGUUGUAUUUACUCUCAAGUGGCAAUACGAGUACACCAGUCUUGGAUCUCGUACCUAUGUUCUGGAGGUAGCAGCAGAUACCUGUAGUCUCGUCUCUUCACUACUACCUGUAAUCUGGUCGCUUCUGUCACUCGUACCCGAGGAUCUGCUAUGAAUAGUAUAGUAUAAGAGUCAUAUAUCAGUUUUUGACAUACGGUGUAUAUGCAACACUUAAUGAUACUAUAAACUAGUUACUUAAAUAAAGAUUUUUUUAUACACCGUUGUGUGCCG